CUGAACCUGCCAGACUACUGGAACUCACUGAAGAAAGCUAAAGGACGGAACAUCCCAAACAUCAUUGUUAGCCCUCUGCAGCCAAAUGACGGAGUGUGGAAAAAAUUUAAGUCUCUCUCAACAAAAUAUGGUCCACCAGGACGAAACCGCAUCGUCAUCCCGUUCAGCCUCCCAGCAGAGAGUGAAAGUGUCCCGUUCUCUGUCGUCUGCUUGGCUCUGUCCCUGGUGCUCCUCUCUUCCAGGUUUAAAGCCACCGUUCACUUUAAUGCCUGUCUGAGUGAUAAGUCUACAGGACAGAAAUGUGACAGGAAGUAUCUGCAGGAGCAGUACUACUGCACUGAAGACAACACUGUGAUGACAUGUUCACCAGAUGCAUUCAGUGUGAACUGGUGGGAUUAUUUUAAGAGUCUGUUUAGUUAGAUGCACUCAUC
ensembl:lncRNA